ensembl:lncRNA
CACCGGCCGGGUGCGCCGCAGCCCCAAGAGAAGCAGCAGCGCAGCGCGGGCACAGGUCUUUCCUGAGGGCAUCGGGAUCGGCAAAGCAGCCUGCCAAGCGGUCAUGAAUGCGGUGGCAGAGCGGCGGCGAAAGAGCAGCGUAGGGGAAACCUACACACUCGAGCCGGAGCGCAAACGAGUAUGUAGAAGUUUGGAGGCUGUGCCGCAGGAAAUUACCUCUUGCCACCCAUCGCCCAAGAAUGCUACUGAUCCCUGGUAUAUGGAGCAGGAUUUGAAACAGAAAGUUCCUACCGAGUUGUUCAUUCCUCAUAAUAUGAAAGAAAUGGCAAAAUCCAUGAUAUUUCCGGAUAAUGAAACCAGAGCUGCUGCCCAGCCUUGCCCAAGAUGUAUUGCUGGAGAACCAGGACAUUUUGGCCACAUGAUGGGUUUGUAG